GGCCAGCCACAGCGAUCCCGUUCAAUUGUUCGCAUACUACCUUACCUACAACCUGUCUUAUUUACCUCGCGUUUUACAGCAUAAUGCCCUGUAGUGUCCGGAUCCAGACGAGGGUCUGUGCCCUUAGUGGUAUAUUUCUGCCAACACGACAAAGCACAUAUCCUGAAGCCAGGCAAAUCCUAUUGAUGGUAAAGCCAGGAAUGAUGACAGAUGCCAGUCCUUGCCAAACUGCAGCCUCUGCUAUGGUCUCAACAGUGUAGCGUCUUCGUAAACUUACUGGGAGAUAUGUCUUUUCCUGCAGAAUUCAAGAAAAAAUGUCUGAUACUGUGUACAAACUGUGUGUAAAUAGUGCUUGUCAAAAACAUUGAGAAGUGCUAUACAGGCCCAUACCCAGGAUUUUUCUUGGGGGGUUGCGAAAUC